GCCAACAGGUAGAGAUUCCUGUACUAGAGUAUAUAGUGAUGGAGGGACGCAGUAGGCUAACUAAACCAGACGAUUGGAAGUGUCUGGCCAAGCAGUGAGGUGUGAUAUGAGUCAAAUGCUUAUAUCUAUAACAUUGAGCUGUGAUGGGGAGCGAAGUUUAGUAGCGAAGUUAGUGAUGUCACACUGCCGAGAAAAGCUUCUAGCGUUAAUUAUACUCUACCCGUACCGCAAACCGACACAGGUAGUCGAGGCGAGUAGCCUCAGGUGAGCGAGAGAACUCUCGUUAAGGAACUCGGCAAAAUGGCCCCGUAACUUCGGGAGAAGGGGCGCCGGCGCGUACGUGGACCCACUCGCUGGGCGAGCGGAGGCCGGCCGCAGUGAAGAGGCCCAAGCGACUGUUUACCAAAAACACAGGACUCUGCAGAAGGCGAGAGCCGACGUAUAGGGUCUGACGCCUGCCCGGUGCCGGAAGGUCACGCGGAGGGGUUAGCCGCGAGGCGAAGCCCCGAAGCCAAGCCCCGGUAAACGGCGGCCGUAACUAUAACGGUCCUAAGGUAGCGAAAUUCCUUGUCGGGUAAGUUCCGACCUGCACGAAAGGCGCAACGAAUUGGGCGCUGUCUCGACCAUGGACCCGGUGAAAUUCCACUAGUCGUGAAGAUGCGACUUACCCGCGGAAGGACGGAAAGACCCCGUGAACCUUCACUGCAGCUUGGCAUUGGCCGCUGGCCCGUCGCGUAGAGGAUAGGCGGGAGGCUUCGAAGCCCGGGCGCCAGCCCGGGUGGAGCCGACCUUGGAAUACCGCCCUCGGCGCGCCGGCGUCCUAACCCCGGGCCGUGAUCCGGCCGGGGGACCGUGCCAGGUGGGUAGUUUGACUGGGGCGGUCGCCUCCCAAAGGGUAACGGAGGCGCGCGAAGGUCCGCUCGGGACGGUCGGCAACCGUCCUCAAUGAGUGCAAGAGCGUAAGCGGGCUUGACUGCGAGGCAGACACGCCGAGCAGGUGCGAAAGCAGGCUCUAGUGAUCCGGCGGCCCCGCGUGGGUGGGCCGUCGCUCAACGGAUAAAAGGUACUCCGGGGAUAACAGGCUGAUCUUGCCCAAGAGUCCACAUCGACGGCAAGGUUUGGCACCUCGAUGUCGGCUCAUCGCAUCCUGGGGCUGGAGCAGGUCCCAAGGGUACGGCUGUUCGCCGUUUAAAGCGGUACGCGAGCU
rnacentral:rRNA from 1 species